UGCCCGCGCACCCGGGAGGCGGCGGACGGCUCAGGACAACGGUUGCACCCCCCGCGGCGGUCCCUGCUAGCCGGACACCGCUGGCAACCCGGCGCCAAGACGUGCGCGCAAGGGCGGGCGCCCGCGGGCGAGCAGCGUGACGCAGCGACGGCCCGCCCGGGCUUCCGGGGCAUCACCCGGUCGGCGCGGUCGCGGCGCGCCGAGGGCCCGACGCCUUUCGGAGAAUCAGGGUUCGACUCCGGAGAGCGGGCCUGAGAGACGGCCCGCACAUCCAAGGACGGCAGCAGGCGCGGAACUUGCCCAAUGCGCGCGCGCGAGGCAGCGACGGGGAGUGCGCGAGCGAGGCGGGCCCACAGCCC
rnacentral:rRNA from 1 species